GAUGAACGCUGGCGGGAGGCCUAACACAUGCAAGCCGAGCGGUAUUUGUUCUUCGGUGCCGCGAGAGCGGCGCACGCGUGCGGAACACUAGUGCAACCUGCCUUUAUCUGUGGGAUAGCCUUUCCAAAGGAAGAUUAAUACUCCUUAAUCAUUUGAGUUUCAUCCACAGAUAUUGAAAACUCCAGUGGCUAUUGAUGGGCACGCGCAAGAUUAGAUAGUUGGUGAGGUAACGGCUCACCAAGUCAAUGAUCUUUAGGGGGCCUGAGAGGGUGAUCCCCCAGACUGGGACUGGGACACAGACCAGACUGCUACGGGAGGCAGCGGUGAGGAAGAUAGGGCAAUGAGUUAGCGCCUGAUACAGCCAGCCCGCGUGAAGGACUACGGCCCUAUGGGUCGUAAACUUUUGUUGAAGAGGGAGAAACCUACUCACGGGAGAGUAGCUGAAGGUACUAAACGAAAAAGCACCGGCUAACUCCGUG
rnacentral:rRNA from 1 species